UCCUGUAGAGGUGCUGAAAUCAAGAGUAAUUAUUAAGAGCUAGGAAAGCGAUGAGGAAUAAUGAAAGGGAAAUCAGCCGAAGAUAUAUAUUUCCAAGAUAUAUUUCUGGCUGUAUGUAUAAUAUACAUAUAGCUGUCACUUUUUUAAGUUUGCUAAAAGUGGAGUGCUAUCAGGU
rnacentral:ncRNA from 1 species